CAGCUACCAUAAUUUUAUUUUAUUCGCAAGAAUUUCGUUUUUAUUACUUCCUUCUUCGAAGUGACAUUAUUGCCAAGGUUAAUGGAGAGAUCCAUGUUUAAUGAUAUUAAAGUCUGUUGGUUUAACUGAUUACAUCGUUUAGUGCUAAUCCUGUGGGGGAGGGGGGAGUAAAGGUGAGUCAGCACUCACCGAAUUUCUCCUAACUCUUUAGGUCCGUGUAAAAAUAAAGAAAUCUUUAUUAUGUUUGGCAGGAGAGGGAACUUGUAACUAGGAAGAGAGCGCCGUCACUGAAAGCAAUGGGGGGUGGCGAGGGAAACAUGCAAACCAACACUUUUCCGUCUCUGUGGAUCAAAGGAACCGAAAACAUGACUCGUUUUGUAAGGACGACGCAAACACUGUGGCUUAUGCUGACCAUUGACAGAGGCUGAGUUAGACUAGAGGCUUCGUGUGUUACAAAGGAUAUGAUGAAGUUGAGUAUCAGGAGCUUUAAAAAAGAGAGAGAACCGAGUUGACAACCAGAUGAAGUGGGAAAGAAGGGGAGGAGAAUACACCCAGGAGCCUGAGCAGGCAGGUAAAUCAUCAAAAAUUCAGUUCCUGCAACUAAUGAAAAAACCAAUCUCACUGUACUCCAGGGGAAAUGGUUCGCUGACGCAAGGCUCGAUGACUGGAGAAGCGCCGCCGCCAGCUCCGAAGGCGACUUGCCGACCUCAGCGCCCUGGGCUCGCGCGGCGCACCGCCCGCCCCUCCGCGCCCGCCCGGCCCCGCUCGCGGAGUGCGCGCGAGGGGGAGUAUCGUCUCCUCGGGCUGGAGCUCGGUGCCAGGACGCUUUCCUGACAUAACCCUGCCCCAGGGCGGGCCAAGACGGGCACUAACCAUUGCUUAGCUUCCCUACUGCCGCUCAGGUCCCCACUACGACCGGCAACUGCCUUGAAACCCACCCCCAAUGGCAGACACUCUGGCCUCACACCUCCCCUUGGUCCCCGCUUUCCCGGCCCUUUCCGGGGAUCCCACACCCUCACCCCAUUUCUCCCGCCCGUCGGGGCCGAACACUGGCACCUCUCCUCGCGCGCAUUCCGCCGCGCCAUUUUAACCCCUUCGACGUUUCCGCUCCGGAGGGGGCGGAAACGGAGGAAACCCAUCCUCCCCACCUCACCCCACCCCGCCCCACCCGCGCGGGCCCUCGCCUAAGGCAGCCCGGAGGGGAUUGUGAAACAACACGGUGGCGGGCGGGGGUGGGGGACACGCUACCUCCGGGCUCUCCAAACUUUGGCAAAAUCUCGGGAACACUGAUGCUCCCCCAGGACAGUCUUCUUCGCCUCGCGGCAAGCGCGGGGUAUCCGAGUUUCUCGGCACCAACGGCGAAGAGCCUCUCCCUUUCCCCAACCCCUUUAAGGACAUCUGAUCUUCAGUCUCUUAACUUUCUCCUCGGGUCUAACAGCUUCUUCAGCCGCGGAGAGCGACCCCAGGCGAAGCCGGAAAGGGAGAAAGCCAGGGUGUGGGGCUCAUGCAAACCUGGGCGCCCAGAGGUUGGCUGAGGCCCUGCGGGUCGAGGCCCCGCGGGCUCUUGAGCAGGAGGAAGCCCCGGGAGAUCUGCGCGGGGCACGUUGCCGCGCCUGAAACAGGCGUUCCCUUUUCCAGAUCAUAUUCCCCAUAAAAUCUAAAGCCAGAUGCAUCGCUUGGGCAAGUUCCCAUUUCACCGCGAAAAGCACGGAUUUGUUUCCAAACUGGACUCCAAAUCGAGGUUUCUGGUGCGGGUUCCAGUGGCCUGCGCAAGGUUGGGGUUUCGAUGCCUCAAGGGACUGCCCGGGCGGGUAACGUUUUAGAUAUUCUACCCCAGGCAAAGCAUCAUUUGCGAAUGCGGAGAUUUAAUUUUAAAAAAAGGGGGGUGGGGGUGGUGCGAAGUAAACACAACUACGGGCUUUCAAAGCCGUGUGUGUACUUUUUAAGUGAGGUGGAGGAUAAAAGAUCAAUUUCAUCUAUAGACGCCCAGUUUAGCAAGAUAACCUGAUGGAAUCUCUGUUUCACAGAAAUAAGUUACAAGGGGGGAAACUUGCAAGAAAGUGCGAACAGUGGCCACAUAUGAAACCAAAGGGCGAGCAUGGUGAAAGCAGGCAUUUUAAUCACCCUGUUGAGUCAAAAAAUAGCUUUUGCUGAGUUGGGUUUUUUUUUUUUUUUUUUUUUUUAAGAAAUAGAAGACUCCUUCCCAAAGAAAUAGCCUACGGGUCUAUUUCACCUGCGAGUUUCCUCUCAUUAUUGUAUAAAGAAAUUUGGGUGUAGUGGGCCAUGUUUUUCACAGAACUUUCUGGUAUUUGCAGUUGUGGUGAACAGGAAAGGAAUAAAAACGAACAUAAUUAGUCUG